CAUAAACAUAGGCAGCCAGCAGCCUAUGCUGCUGCUUUGCCUAUGAAGCAGCUAUUCUUUAUUCCUUUACUUUCUUAAUAUACUUCCUUUCAUUUUACUCUGUGGACUCGCCCUGAAUUCUCUCUUGCACGAGAUCCAACAACCCUCUCUUGAGGUUUGGACUGGGACCCCUUUCUGAUGGAUGUGCAUGUCAUUUGGUGCCAAAGACCCAGGUCACAGGGAUUCCUUCGGGAGACCAGGCCCCUGUCCUCACUCUCACUCCAUGAAGGGAUCCACCUAUGACCUCGAGUCCUUAGACCAACCAGCCCAAGGAACAUCUCACCAAUCUCAAAUUGGAGCCCAUCUACACACAGCAAAAUAUCUCACAAUGAAUUCCCAUCCACAGCCUCAGCAAUGGGCUGGUGUGUCCCCAGAGAAUGUCAGCUGAUUGGACAGCAGUCUGCAGGAGAAGGUGAAUCCCCUAAUUUGGAAGGAACUGAAGCAUGAAAAGAUGCUGAGAUCACAAUGAAAACAGACAAAGUCUUCUGGGGAUGAAAUGUUAAAAAGGGGAGAUGUGCAAGGAACACAGGAAGAAUAAGUUCAGGAGAUCUGUUAUACAACAUGGGGAUGAUAGUUAAUAACAAUGCAUGGUACAUUUGGGGAUUGCUAAAGGAACACCUUGUAAAGAUUUCCACCCUUCCUCUUGAAUGAUAAGUAUGAAAUGUGACGGAUAUAUUUCUUAGCUUGAUGUAGCUGUUCCACCGUGUGUGCAUAUAUCAAAACAUCACGUUGUAUCCCAUAAAUGUAUAUCGUUUAAAUUUGUUAAUUAAAAUAAUAAAUAAUAAAGAACAAUGGGAUUUUUGAAAUAAUCAAGUGUAUUUGUAAAUAUAUG
rnacentral:lncRNA from 1 species